rnacentral:rRNA from 1 species
AUACGUAGGGGGCGAGCGUUGUCCGGAAUGAUUGGGCGUAAAGGGCGCGUAGGCGGCCCGGUAAGUCUGGAGUGAAAGUCCUGUUUUUAAGAUGGGAAUUGCUUUGGAUACUGUCGGGCUUGAGUGCAGGAGAGGUAAGUGGAAUUCCCAGUGUAGCGGUGAAAUGCGUAGAGAUUGGGAGGAACACCAGUGGCGAAGGCGACUUACUGGACUGCAACUGACGCUGAGGCGCGAAAGUGUGGGGAGCAAACAGGAUUAGAUACCCUGGUAGUCCACACUGUAAACGAUGAAUGCUAGGUGUAGGGGGUAUCGACCCCUUCUGUGCCGCAGUCAACACAAUAAGCAUUCCGCCUGGGGAGUACGGCCGCAAGGUUGAAACUCAAAGGAAUUGACGGGG